CAAAGGGUAGUUUAAAUAAAAUAUUAAUUUUGGGGAUUAAAGAUAAGACUAUCUUUCCUUUGA
rnacentral:tRNA from 1 species